UGCUUAGUAAUUUCUAUGGAGCCCCUGCCUGUAGCAGGGCUCUAUAGAAAUAAAGUAAAAAUCCUCAUAGACUCCAAUGCUAAUGCUUUGGAGUCUACGAGAAAAGCAAUUCAAUGAUUGCUUCAGAACGGAAAGAAAAGUCAAAAUGGACAAUUUGUCGUUUUUUGGUCGCUUCUUCAACCAC